ACCAUGUAGUGUAUUCAUGAAUAGCUACUAGAUGGCGCUAUCCCUAGCAAAGCAGACGACUAUUCGGAAGGAAAAAGUAAAAAUUAAAAUGGUGAACGUGAAGAACAGAAGUGGUCAAGUAAUGCUGCUGUAAUCCUUUUAACUGUAAAUGUAAGGGUGAAUCUAUAAUCUAUCACGACGGUUCGCAAGUAAAAGUCCCCCCGUGUACCAUUAUUUGCGCAUUAUUUCCCAUUAUUUCCUAUUUCAUAUGAAUUUGGUUCAAGGUCACAAGGAACAUGUAAAAGUGUAGAGGUUGGGUAAGAAAGAAAGUUUUACAUCAUUAUCAAGUUGGUAGAAUUCAUUCGGUUCAAGGUUACAAGGAACAUUUCGUAAAAGUGUAGAGGUUGGGUGAGAAAGAAACGUGUGGCAUCAUUAUCAAGUAGGUAGAAUUGCCGCAAAACUGAAGAGUUGAGUUAGGGUGAGAAAAAGUCGUAUAAAAGGAGAGAGAAAAAGUGAGAGACCACCAGUCAGCAGAGCAUCUCCGACACGGUAAUAACUGUUGUGCAUUGUUUGUCAUCAACAACAUUCUUCGUCGUUAUACCAGCUCGCAACCAUGGGGCCAUGAUUCAGUCGAUGGCCGGCCGACGACAGCGCCUUCCGACCCGAAUCUCUUCCAGCUGCUGCCAGCCCACCGGUGAAUAUUUCGAUGAGGAGUACGACGUUGGUGGAUGAGACGCCUCGCAACGAUCGCUAAUGUCCCGAAGUUAUCUAUGGCGUCGUGCUGCUUUUGGAUGUUGUAUCGUUGGUGAUUAGGGUGAUGGUGAUGGUUAGGUCGAACAUUGGUGUACCAAUGUCCCCUGGGUAUGGCGGAUAGCAAGUCGCAAUGCCCCCGUUUUACUACACAACAUCAGCAACAAAAUACGCAACGACCAGUUGGUACAACGACGUCCCCAAGUACUACAGCGAAAGGCCGAGUCGCGUUUGCUGCCCCAGUUUACUACACCGAGGAACCCAAGUAUUAAUCUGCUCCAAACUACUACCAAACAGAGGCUCCUGUUUACUACACCACCAACGCCCCUGAGUAUUACUCGAGUAAUUACGCUGCCCCCGACUACUACACUGAAGCUCCAAAGUACUACACCAUCAG